GUAGGAACCUGUCGCUGGGUGGGGGAGUAACGCUGGGAAACCGGCGCUAAUACCGCAUGUGGUCACGCAAGUGAAGAAAGUGGCAACACGCCCCGGUGAGGGGCCUGCGUCCGAUUAGCUAGUUGGUGUGGUAAGAGCGCACCAAGGCAUCGAUCGGUAGCUGGUCUGAGAGGAUGGUCAGCCACACUGGGACUGAGACACGGCCCAG
rnacentral:rRNA from 1 species